rnacentral:tRNA from 7 species
GGAAGUUUAGCUCAGUUGGGAGAGCAUCUGCCUUACAAGCAGGGGGUCAUAGGUUCGAGCCCUAUAACUUCCACCA